GCGGGGUAUUGCCUUAGUAACGGCGAGUGAAGCGGCAACAGCUCAAAUUUGAAAGCUGGCCCUUUUAGGGUCCGCGUUGUAAUUUGUAGAGGAUGAUUCGGCGAGGGCUCCUGCCUAAGUCCCCUGGAACGGGGCGUCAUAGAGGGUGAGAAUCCCGUAUGCGGUAGGUUGCCUUAGCCAUGUGAAUCUCCUUCGACGAGUCGAGUUGUUUGGGAAUGCAGCUCUAAAUGGGAGGUAAAUUUCUUCUAAAGCUAAAUACUGGCCAGAGACCGAUAGCGCACAAGUAGAGUGAUCGAAAGAUGAAAAGCACUUUGGAAAGAGAGUUAAAAAGUACGUGAAAUUGUUGAAAGGGAAGCGCUUGCAACCAGACUUGUCCGCAGUUGCUCAGCCGGUCUCCUGACCGGCGUACUCUUCUGCGGCCAGGCCAGCAUCAGUUCGGGCGGUCGGAUAAAGGCCUCGGGAAUGUAGCUCCUCUCGGGGAGUGUUAUAGCCCGGGGUGGAAUGCGACCAGCCUGGACUGAGGAUCUCGCUUCGGCAAGGAUGCUGGCGUAAUGGUUGUAAGCGGCCCGUCUGAAAAACCCGAACA
rnacentral:rRNA from 1 species